GAGUGCCCGAAAGGGAACCGUAACACAGGUGCUGCAUGGCUGUCGUCAGCUCGUGUCGUGAGAUGUUGGGUUAAGUCCCGCAACGAGCGCAACCCUUGCCAUUAGUUGCUACAUUCAGUUGAGCACUCUAAUGGGACUGCCGGUGACAAACCGGAGGAAGGUGGGGAUGACGUCAAGUCCUCAUGGCCCUUAUGGGUAGGGCUUCACACGUAAUACAAUGGUCGGUACAGAGGGUUGCCAACCCGCGAGGGGGAGCUAAUCUCAGAAAGCCGAUCGUAGUCCGGAUUGUAGUCUGCAACUCGACUGCAUGAAGCCGGAAUCGCUAGUAAUCGCGGAUCAGCAUGUCGCGGUGAAUACGUUCCCGGGUCUUGUACACACCGCCCGUCACACCAUGGGAAUGGGUUCCACCAGAAGUAGGUAGCCUAACCGCAAGGAGGGCGCUUACCACGGUGAGAUUCAUGACUGGGGUGAAGUCGUAACAAGGUAGCCGUAUCGGAAGG
rnacentral:rRNA from 1 species